rnacentral:rRNA from 1 species
GAUGAACGCUGGCGGCGUGCCUAAUACAUGCAAGUCGAGCGAACAGACGAGGAUCUUGCUCCUCUGACGUUAGCGGCGGACGGGUGAGUAACACGUGGAUAACCUACCUAUAAGACUGGGAUAACUUCGGGAAACCGGCGCUAAUACCGGAUAAUAUAUUGCACCGCAUGGUUCAAUAGUGAAAGACGGUUUUGCUGUCACUUAUCGAUGGAUCCGCGCCGCAUUAGCUAGUUGGUAAGGUAACGGCUUACCAAGGCAACGAUGCGUAGCCGAACUGCGAGGGUGAUAGGCGACACGGGAACUGAGACACGGACAAGACGCCUACGGGAGGCAGCAGUAGGGAAUCUUCCGCAAUGGGGGAAAGCCUGACGGAGCAACGGCGCGUGAGUGAUGAAGGUCUUCGGAGCGUAAAAAUGUGUUAUGAGGGAAGAACAAAUGUGUAAGUAACUAUGCACGGAGUGACGGUAACUAAUCAGAAAGCCACGGCUAACUACGUG